UGCAGCCCAUAUAUAUUUCUAUGUGUUUUGUUUUUUCCGUUUCAAGUCCUUCUUCUUCCAACACCAAUGUAUCUCCUUAGUAACAACCUUUUCAGCAUGUCAAUGUUCUUCUUAGGCCUUCUAAUGAGCCAUCAUUGGGUCCAGGUGUGUAAAACACGCAGGAUGCCGGCCCUCAAGGACCGACUUUGGGCACCACUGCUUUAAGAUUCAGAGGAGCAGCCUGAUCGGAGGAGCUCGCAGCUUGGGGAGAGUUUCUCUCAUCUUCUGAGGGAGGCUGAGGACAUGGAACCUGAAUGGUCCAUUUCCAUGGGGAUAUGCUACCAGGAUGUAUGGCCUGAGAUCAUUGCUACAUCACAGGAGCCAUCAGUGGACACCUGCUGUGAUCGAAGCUGACAGAUUUGACAGGAAAGCGGUGGGUCAGAGGAGGGUGGGAUGUCUGUGUGGACGGGAGCCAGAGAGGAGGCUUCAUCCCUGACCACAUGUCUGAUACAGGAGCUUGAUCUCCAUCUUCUUUAAAUAAACCUCUUUGUCUCUUAUCUUGACUUCAAGUUGUUUCUGACCCUUCUUUAUAGAACCGGGGGUACUUGCUGACAAAUAUUUAC